GCUGGGCAUGGUGGCACGUGCCUGUGGUCCCAGCUACUCAGGAGGCUGAGGUGGAAGGAUCACUUGAGCCCAGGAGUUCUGGGUUGUAGAGCGCUAUGCCAAUCGGGUGUCUGCACUAAGUUCAGCAUCAAUAUGGUGACCUCCCAGGAGCAGGGGGAGCAGAUCAAACCUCCCAUGCUGAUCAGUAGAGGGAUCGCACCUGUGAAUAGCCACUGCACUCCAGCCUGGGCAACAUAGUGAGACCCUGUCUCUU
ensembl:misc_RNA Metazoa_SRP Metazoan signal recognition particle RNA